rnacentral:rRNA from 1 species
UACAGAGGUCUCAAGCGUUGUUCGGAUUCAUUGGGCGUAAAGGGUGUGUAGGUGGCGCCGUAAGUCGGGUGUGAAAUUUCGGAGCUUAACUCCGAAACUGCAUUCGAUACUGCGGUGCUUGAGGACUGGAGAGGAGACUGGAAUUCAUGGUGUAGCAGUGAAAUGCGUAGAGAUCAUGAGGAAGACCAGUGGCGAAGGCGGGUCUCUGGACAGUUCCUGACACUGAGAUACGAAGGCCAGGGGAGCAAACGGG